GACGAACGCUAGCGGCGUGCUUAACACAUGCAAGUCGAGCGGUAAGGCCCUUCGGGGUACACGAGCGGCGAACGGGUGAGUAACACGUGGGUGAUCUGCCUCGCACUCUGGGAUAAGCCUGGGAAACUGGGUCUAAUACCGGAUAUGAGCAGCCUCUGCAUGGGGGCUGUUGGAAAGGUUUACUGGUGCGAGAUGGGCCCGCGGCCUAUCAGCUUGUUGGUGGGGUAACGGCCCACCAAGGCGACGACGGGUAGCCGACCUGAGAGGGUGACCGGCCACACUGGGACUGAGACACGGCCCAGACUCCUACGGGAGGCAGCAGUGGGGAAUAUUGCACAAUGGGCGAAAGCCUGAUGCAGCGACGCCGCGUGAGGGAUGACGGCCUUCGGGUUGUAAACCUCUUUUGACAGGGACGAAGCGCAAGUGACGGUACCUGUAGAAGAAGCACCGGCCAACUACGUGC
rnacentral:rRNA from 1 species